rnacentral:rRNA from 1 species
CCUACGGGUGGCAGCAGUGAGGAAUAUUGGUCAAUGGGCGCUAGCCUGAACCAGCCAAGCAGCGUGAAGGAUGACUGCCCGAUGGGUUGUAAACUUCUUUUAUCUGGGAAUAAAGUCUAGUAUGUAUACUGCUUUGCAUGUACCUUAUGAAAAAGCAUCGGCUAACUCCGUGCCAGCAGCCGCGGUAAUACGGAGGAUCCGAGCGUUAUCCGGAUUUAUUGGGUUUAAAGGGAGCGUAGGCGGGUUGUUAAGUCAGUUGGGAAAGUUUGGGGCUUAACCGUAAAAUUGCAGUUGAUACUGGCAUCCUUGAGUACAGGAGAGGUAGGCGGAAUGCGUGGUGUAGCGGUGAAAUGCUUAGAUAUCACGAAGAACUCCGAUUGCGAAGGCAGCCUGCUGGACUGUAACUGACGCUGAUGCACGAAAGUGUGGGUAUCAAACAGGAUUAGAUACCCCAGUAGUC